UACGUAGGUCCCGAGCGUUGUCCGGAUUUAUUGGGCGUAAAGCGAGCGCAGGUGGUUUAUUAAGUCUGGUGUAAAAGGCAGUGGCUCAACCAUUGUAUGCAUUGGAAACUGGUAGACUUGAGUGCAGGAGAGGAGAGUGGAAUCCCAUGUGUAGCGGUGAAAUGCGUAGAUAUAUGGAGGAACACCGGUGGCGAAAGCGGCUCUCUGGCCUGCAACUGACACUGAGGCUCGAAAGCGUGGGGAGCAAACAGG
rnacentral:rRNA from 1 species